UACGUAGGUGGCGAGUGUUGUCCGGAUUUACUGGGCGUAAAGGGAGCGUAGGCGGACUUUUAAGUGAGAUGUGAAAUACCCGGGCUUAACUUGGGUGCUGCAUUUCAAACUGGAAGUCUAGAGUGCAGGAGAGGAGAAUGGAAUUCCUAGUGUAGCGGUGAAAUGCGUAGAGAUUAGGAAGAACACCAGUGGCGAAGGCGAUUCUCUGGACUGUAACUGACGCUGAGGCUCGAAAGCGUGGGGAGCAAACAGGAUUAGAUACCCCGGUA
rnacentral:rRNA from 1 species